rnacentral:rRNA from 1 species
AUUGAACGCUGGCGGCAGGCCUAACACAUGCAAGUCGGACGAGUGGCGGACGGGUGAGUAAUGUCUGGGAAACUGCCUGAUGGAGGGGGAUACAUACUGGAAACGGUAGCUAAUACCGCAUACCAUCAGCUGAUCCCAUAUGGGAUUAGCUUGUUGGUGGGGUAACGGCUCACCAAGGCGACGAUCCCUAGCUGGUCUGAGAGGAUGACCCGCAACACUGGAACUGAGACACGGUCCAGACUCCUACGGGAGGCAGCAGUGGGGAAUAGUGCGCAAUGGGCGCAAGUCUGAUGCAGCCAUGCCGCGUGUAUGAAGAAGGCCUUCGGGUUGUAAAGUACUUUCAGCGGGGAGGCGUUACCCGCAGAAGAAGCACCGGCUAACUCCGUGCCAGCAGCCGCGGUAAUUC